CGCGCAUAUAUUGUGGUACUCUCCAAAAUGGCGCUAGGGUGACAUGGAGGAAAAGAAUUGUUGAAUAAAGUUAUUUUAGUUUUUUUCACAACAAUAAGUAUACUUGUAGCUUUAUAAAAUUAUGGAUGAACCACUGAUGUCACAUGGACUAUUUUGUCGAAGUUCUUGGUACCUUUCUGGACCUUGAACGUGGUAGGACCCUUGCGGUCUAUGCAGGGUCAGAAAGCUCUCGGAUUUCAUCAGAAAUAUCUUUAUUUGUGUUCCGAAGAUGAACAAGGUCUUAUGGGUUUGGAACAAUAUGAGGGUGAGUAAUUAAUGACGGAAUUAAAAUUUUUGUGUGAACUAUCCCUUUGAUAAUAUAAUUGCGUGUAAUUUGCAUAUUUAAGUAAAUUUACUAGUGAAUUGAACCGAUUCAUUGAAACAAAAGAACCAGUUCACGGAAAAGAAUGGAAUUUUCCUGUUUGCUUGAGGCUCUGGUUUACAGGCAACCAUUGACUUGCAUUUUAUGAAGCACCAAGGACCACGGUUUCAGCUAAAAAUCUUCUUUAAUAUUCUACUCAAGAAAAAAAUCAUUUAUAUCUUAGAUGGUCUUUUUGGGUGUACUACUCCCUUUAAUGCCUCUUUCCUGUUCCUCCAGUGUUUUUGCUCUACAUCUGGUUCAUGGAGUCCUGGUUGACGCCUUUUUACGCGUCUUCGGAUGUCAUCGCCCUUCGAUUUCUGCUCUUCCUUUGCAAGGCCUAUGGAGUUGUGUUACUGCUGAUGCCGCCUUUGAUUGCUGUGGAGUUGUUGGUUGAUCUGCUGUGUCCUCAAAGUGGGCGAACGAAGGGUAGAGAUGCAAGCGAAUCCCUCUCUAGUACAGUUGGCUAUUUGGGAUGUUUUCUAGCAUGGAGCAUGAGCGGGAUCUACAGCAGCCACGACUGGAUGCUGGAGCAGAUCUCAGUGGAAACCUGUCAAGGAAAAGGUGGCCAUCUUCUCACGUGCCUUCCCAGCGCUGAUGAGUCUUCCUGGGUUCUUCCUUCUAUGGUGGUCCUGUUGAGUUUAACAGGGAGCCUGGGUCUGUUCAGGACGAAGGCAUCCAGAAGAUUGCCUGACUCAUCUAAAAACACACAGAUGGGCAAGAAAAAGGACUAUUUGGGCCCUGGGCUAAUGCAUAUGUCACAAACUCUGGUUGACUCAGAAAAAACACCCAACAGCUGUGGCGUACACAUGGCCGGGUUUGUGAACAGUGAGCCACGACAGAUCUGUCCUGGGAAUGGUGUACUGUGCGCUCAACAAACCGGUUUGGCAGACAGUAUCAAGAAACAAAAGCAAUCAUCCAGCUUUGCAACAUUUGCACAGUCCAAAACCGAUCUUUCUCUGGAAGUCACAUCAUUGGCUGUCUUUAACAGGACAGACGCAAAGUCUCAAAGCAGAUGCUAUUGGUUUCCCAAAAGGGAAAGUCCCUGCUCAGGGCGAGAAAUCUUCACAGGGUUGGUAUGCGUGGCUCUAGUUUGUGUUUUUCCCACAGUCAUCAGUGGUAAUAUUCUCCUAAUCUUUAAUCUGGAGAAUCUGGUGGUGUACAACUUAAAACUCUUAUCUCUAUCAGUUAACAGAGUACCGGAUCUGUAAGUGCUGAAGGUGCAGAUGUGUGGAUAAACAAAUAAAAAUCUAUAUAUUUAA
ensembl:lncRNA